CGCAGGUAAACAAACAAGCAUGGUGACAGCUGUUGACCGCGUUCGAGUUUGAUCGGUUCCUGGUGCUCCUGCCUUGCUCCCCGUCCUCCCACUUCGCUCUCUGUCUUCUUUACCAUCUCCUACCCUCUAUCUCCCGCUGAGAUCCGCGAUGGGUCGGCCCCCGCACGGCGGCGGACCCGUCUUCCGAUUCACUCAGAACGAGAUAAAGGAAGACGACGAGGAGGUGCGGAUGAUGUGUGAUGCCCGGACUAUGGAAGUCUUGGGACUAGAAAGGAGUUCCUUUAGUCUUCUUUCCAUAUUCUUUUUUUUAGUUCCGCAUUUUAGUUAUUGUAAACAUUUGAGACUGUACUUUACACUCUGUGUCAUUCAAGUUUAUUCUUGUUCUAGGUUGCAUGUAGGAUGAGUUCAGUUUAGUAAGUAGAUAUUUGUGUGUUUGAUACU